GUUUCCCUCCACUCAAAUGUCUGCAACUCUCUAGCAUCUAUUGCUUUUUAUGGUUGAGGGUAUUGGACAAAGGAUUCAAGUGAUGAUUGGAGAAGGAGAGGAUUUCUAUGAUGUCCAACUUGGUGCCAUCCAUCUCAUUACUUGGUCAUCCCAUAUAUGAAGACCAAAGAGCAACCACUGAAGAAAAACUUUACUGAUGGAUUUCAUCCAAUAGGCCCUGGUGGUGAAGUAAUGCUAAAUGGCAGUAGAGGCUUGUGAGCAACUAGCCUAAUUGGGAAAUUGGUGUAGUCCUCCACCUUGCACUGCUUCAUGCCCAUUACUGUUUUAUUAAGUAGAAUGAGUGCACUAGUAGAUGAAACCCGACUUUCUGUGAUAUGAACACAACGUUAACAUUCUUCUCUUUUAAUUUUUUCUUAA